UACGUAGGGGGCAAGCGUUGUCCGGAUUUAUUGGGCGUAAAGCGCUCGCAGGUGGUUUGUCGCGUCGUGCGUGAAAGACCCCGGCUCAACUGGGGAGGGUCACGCGAUACUGAUCGACUCGAAGGCAGGAGAGGGUAGUGGAAUUCCCGGUGUAGUGGUGAAAUGCGUAGAUAUCGGGAGGAACACCAGUGGCGAAGGCGACUACCUGGCCUGUUCUUGACGCUGAGGCGCGAAAGCUAGGGGAGCAAACGGG
rnacentral:rRNA from 1 species